CCCUAACAUAAAAUUAGCACAAAUACCCACUAUAUCAUACAAAUAUAGUGAAGAGCACAGACAUGCAUGCCCCCAGAUUAUAAUCUGCCUCGUAAGGUAUAGUAAAGAAAUUAACAUCUGUAAAAUAUAUGCAAUCGCGAGGACUGGACAUAAUGUGUCAGCAGUAGGCUAUAAUUAAUCGAUAAUUGACGCUGUAGGGAUUUAAUAUCCUGUUAAUGUCAUUAUCAAGUGGGAUUAUUUCGCUUUGAAAAGCCACGGAAAAUUUUAGUUACACGCAACAGCGCAAGGUAUAUGCUACAUAUAGUACGUUUAUACUAAACGCAGAGCUUGCACAAGUCAAAGACGCUGAGCUUUCGCAUUAGAGACCCUACGACCCAGGACGGCAACGCGACAGCAACAGCCUCCAAUACAAUAAAUCAUUGAGAGAAUGGAAUAAUCACAAUAUAUGAAUAAUUUAGACAUUGUCUUCGCUCUGUAAUUACUACGCCAAAUCAGAGAUUUUACGUCUUGAUGCAACGGCUGCAUUUCAAGCCGCAACAAGUGCAAUUUCAAACCAGGUUCAGCCGAACUAUACCCAGUCAUAAAACCCAUGUUUAAUGUCAUUCAUGUCGUCCCUUGUCUAGCCUCUCUGUUAAAUCGUGUUGUUAAUAAUUAUCACUUUAUAUAGGUAUUCUGUAUAAAUAGUUAAGGUUACCC